UGUUGCAGUUAAAAAGCUCGUAGUCGAACCUUGGGUCUGGCUGGCCGGUCCGCCUCACCGCGAGUACUGGUCCGGCUGGACCUUUCCUUCUGGGGAAUCCCAUGGCCUUCACUGGCUGUGGGGGGAACCAGGACUUUUACUGUGAAAAAAUUAGAGUGUUCAAAGCAGGCCUUUGCUCGAAUACAUUAGCAUGGAAUAAUAGAAUAGGACGUGCGGUUCUAUUUUGUUGGUUUCUAGGACCGCCGUAAUGAUUAAUAGGGAUAGUCGGGGGCGUCAGUAUUCAGCUGUCAGAGGUGAAAUUCUUGGAUUUGCUGAAGACUAACUACUGCGAAAGCAUUCGCCAAGGAUGUUUUCAUUAAUCAGGGAACGAAAGUUAGGGGAUCGAAGACGAUCAGAUACCGUCGUAGUCUUAACCAUAAACUAUGCCGACUAGGGAUCGGGCGGUGUUUCUAUGAUGACCCGCUCGGCACCUUACGAGAAAUCCAAAG
rnacentral:rRNA from 1 species